GACGAACGCUGGCGGCGUGCUUAACACAUGCAAGUCGAACGGAAAGGCCCUGCUUUUGUGGGGUGCUCGAGUGGCGAACGGGUGAGUAACACGUGAGUAACCUGCCCUUGACUUUGGGAUAACUUCAGGAAACUGGGGCUAAUACCGGAUAGGAGCUCCUGCAGCAUGGGGGGGGUUGGAAAGUUUCGGCGUUGGGGGAUGGACUCGCGGCUUAUCAGCUUGUUGGUGGGGUAGGGGCUGACCAAGGCUUGGACGGGUAGCCGGCCUGAGAGGGUGACCGGCCACCUUGGUACUGCGAUAGGGCCCAGUCUCCUACGGGAGGCAGCGGUGGGGAAUAUGGCACAGUGGGCGGACGCCUGUUACAGCGACGCCGCGUGCGGAAUGACGGCCUUCGGGUUGUAAACCGCUUUCGCCUGUGACGAAGCGUGAGUGACGGUAAUGGGUAAAGAAGCACCGGCUAACUACGUG
rnacentral:rRNA from 1 species